UACGAAGGGGGCUAGCGUUGCUCGGAAUCACUGGGCGUAAAGGGUGCGUAGGCGGGAUCUUAAGUCAGAGGUGAAAGCCUGGAGCUCAACUCCAGAACUGCCUUUGAUACUGAAGAUCUUGAGUUCGGGAGAGGUGAGUGGAACUGCGAGUGUAGAGGUGAAAUUCGUAGAUAUUCGCAAGAACACCAGUGGCGAAGGCGGCUCACUGGCCCGAAACUGACGCUGAGGCACGAAAGCGUGGGGAGCAAACAGG
rnacentral:rRNA from 1 species